rnacentral:rRNA from 1 species
GGCCUUCGGGAACGUCUGACACAGGUGCUGCAUGGCUGUCGUCAGCUCGGUGUCGUGAGAUGUUGGGUUAAGUCCGUAACGAGCGCAACCCUGUCCUUAGUUACCAGCACGUUAUGGUGGGCACUCUAAGGAGACUGCCGGUGACAAACCGGAGGAAGGUGGGGAUGACGUCAAGUCAUCAUGGCCCUUACGGCCUGGGCUACACACGUGCUACAAUGGUCGGUACAAAGGGUUGCCAAGCCGCGAGGUGGAGCUAAUCCCAUAAAACCGAUCGUAGUCCGGAUCGCAGUCUGCAACUCGACUGCGUGAAGUCGGAAUCGCUAGUAAUCGUGAAUCAGAAUGUCACGGUGAAUACGUUCCCGGGCCUU